rnacentral:SRP_RNA from 1 species
GCCAGGUGUGGUGGUGCACACCUGUAAUCCCAGCUACUUGGGAGGCUGAGGUAGGAGAAUCGCUUGAACCCGGGAAGCAGAGGUUGCAGUGAGCCAAGAUCGUGCCACUGCACUCCAGCCUGGGCAACAGAGCAAGACUCUGUCUCAA